GAAAUACUCCCUCCGUCUCAAAAUUCUUGUCUUAGAUUUGUCUAUAAAUACGUAUGUAUCUAUUUACAUUUUAGUGUUAGAUACAUCCGUAUGUAGACAAAUCUAAGACAAAAUUUUUGGGACGGAGGGAGUAGAAA
rfam:Triticum aestivum genome assembly, contig: Triticum_aestivum_CS42_TGACv1_scaffold_320476_4BL